rnacentral:misc_RNA from 1 species
UCUCCGUUGGUGAACCAGCGGAGGGAUCAUUACCGAGUUACUCUACUCCCAAACCCCUGUGAACUUAUACCUUUACUGUUGCUUCGGCGGGUUAACGCCCCGGAAGGCCCGCGAGGGCCGCCGGAACCAGGCGCCCGCCGGGGGACCCAAACUCUUGUAUCUUUUUUAUAGCAUGUCUGAGUGGAAUCAUAAACAAAUGAAUCAAAACUUUCAACAACGGAUCUCUUGGUUCUG